rnacentral:rRNA from 1 species
GAUGAACGCUGGCGGCGUGCCUAAUACAUGCAAGUCGAGCGGAAGCACGAUAAGCUUUCUUCUCUGAUGUUAGCGGCGGACGGGUGAGUAACACGUGGAUAACCUACCUAUAAGACUGGGAGAACUUCGGGGAACCGGAACUAAUACCGGAUGAUAUUUUGAACCGCAUGAUUCAAAAGUGAAAGACGGUUUUGCUGUUACAUAUAGAUGGAUCCGCACUGCAUUAGCUAGUGGGUAAGGUAACGCCCUACCAAGGAAACGAUGCAGAGCGGACCGGAGGGAGGGAUAGCCCAACCUGGAACUGAGAAAGGGCCAGAACUCCUAGGGGAGGCAGAAGUAGGAAAUCUUGCGAAAUGGGCGAAAGCCUGACGAAGCAACGCGGCGUGAGUGAGGAGGGUCUCCGGUUCGUAAAACCCUGUUAUUAGGAAAAAAAAUAUCUGUAAAUAACUGUGCACAUCUUGCCGGUACCAAAUAAGAAAGCCCCGGUAACUACGUG